GCCAGCCAGCGACUAGCGCCUCCCUACCCGCCAGCCCAGCCUCCCAUGGGGCCCUGGGAACCUGCGCUUCUUAGUGAGGAAUGAAAUUCACUUGCCUUCACUUCCAGAUAAGCUCUGAUAAGCUCUUGCUGUGUUGCCCUGAAUGGCCUGGAACUUCUGAUUCUCUUGCCCCAGCCUCCCAAAGAGCUGGGACUAUAGCUUGUAACAGAAACCUGUGUACCUGAAGACAGUGGAAAACAAACAGAUGAGGCAACUUCAUGUAUCAAUUAUGAAGGAAAAGCUGAAUAAAACCCAAAAUUCAUGCCAGCCAGCCCUGAGCCCUCAUUUACUGUGAACUGAGACUAAUAGUUCAAAUAUCAAACAUUUUCAAUGAUUUUUAAAAAAGAUAUUCAUUAAAUAAUAUCAUAUACAAUACUUAA